CAUUGAUCUCAUGAGCGUUACUAAAUGGAGCCACAGCUUCUCCAAGGGUUAAAGUCUACAGUCAGCCUGUCAGGUAGGUGUGUAUAUUUGAGGUUCCACUGAACUCUCAGUCCUACUCCUUGCUCAUCUACACUUCUCUUCCAAGUCGGCAUCCUCUGUUACCUGCCCUCCUGCUCUAUGCUCUAAAGUAGAAGACUCUCCAGUAAUAGUCUUAGCCUUUUCUCUGACUCUUUUCUCCAGUUCCUUUUCUUACCUGACACCCAGCUAGGCAUUCUCAGCAGGGAUGUUGUUUUUAAUUUGAUAUAGUUUUUUGUUUGUUUGCUUCAUGCUCCAUGUUCUUCAGACCAGAAGUGGGGAAGCACACAGAGGAGAGACACACAGAAGAGAAGGUGAUAGUGAAGAUGAAGGUAGAUGUUGGAGUGGUGCAGCCAGCAGAAGUUGGAAGAGGCAUGAAAUCUUCCCCAGAGCUUCUGGAAGGAAUGUGGCCCUGCUGACACCUUGAUUUCAGACUUUUAGCCUCCAGAACUGUAAGACAAUAAAUUUCUGUUGUUUGAAGUCCCUAGUUUGUAGUAAAUUCUUAUAGCAGCUCUAGAAAAUGAAUACGUCUUCCAACAUUGUUUCUUCUUUUUCAAGACUGUUUUGGCUAUUUUGGGUGCCAAAUCCAUCUCAUUAGUGAUUUACCUCCUAGAAAAACUCUAAGCAAAUUGCCCUUUCUUUUAUACUCAAGGGGUGAACAUUCUUCACAUAUUUGAAGACUGAUAUAGAAUGAUGGCGUUUAAAGUAAAAGGAGAUUUUAGAGAUAGUCCAAUUGCUUUACACAUAAGGAAAUUGAAGUCUUCCGCCUGAGGCUGAAAAAGUUCUGGCCAGACCAGGAUGAGAGCCUUGGUCUCUGUACUUCCAGUUGAGCUGUCUUUCUUCUACCCCGUGCUGCCAUCUUGUAAGGGCAAAGACUGUAUCUUAUACAUUUUUGUUUCACAUAUUCAUUUGCCAAUUAUGUAUUGUGCACAAACUAUAGACACUCUUUUAGGUACUAAAGAUAUGUCAAUAAAAACAAUUCUUUCCUUUAUUGUACACUUUACUGUGUAUGUGUGUGUAUAGGAGGGGAUAGCAGGGGUGGAGUAAGAAUAUAAAACCAUAAAAUAAGUUUAAAAAUGAGAUGGAGGGUCAUCUAAACCACAAGCAUAGUUGCCUACACAGAAUAGGGUGCUCAGAUGUUUGUUUAUUAAUAUUUGUUGAUUGUUGUUCUUUCCCUCCAUCCCAAACAUCCUGAGGAGACUCCAAGAACCUUUUCAACUUGAGGAAAUCUAUAUUCUACAGCUCUAGGCUUCUAACAACAUUUCCUCAUUGCAUGACUGAUUUCUUGAGAAUAGUCUCCUUUAAAACAAUAUUUAUAUUACAUCUUAAAAAUGUAGCACUGGUAUUUAAAUUCUAAAGACAGAGAUAGUCUCCUAUGACCCACCUAUUAUAUCGAUAGUGAUCAAAUUCACGGCGUGGAAAUCAUACCACACAUGCCUUGUAGAAUAUUAUUCUUAACCAGAUUGCAAAUUGGUUAGCAACUUUCCAAAUCAUAUGUUUCUAGGCAUUGUUUUCUGUAGUGAUUAAAUAUUCUCACAUAUAUUAUGUUUUAUAUCUUAGUCAUUCUUAACAAACUGCAGUUAUGCUGGAGUCUUGUCAACUGAAUAAAAAAUAUUCUAGAUUUCUUAAUACUCCUUCUAACAAAGUUGUCAGUUAAGCAACUUACACUUAUCAUUAACACACUUCUGUUUUUUAAAGAACAGUUACAUUAGUAUUUCUAAAAGCAUUUUAGAGGAAUCUCAGGUUAGUCUGUUCAAAGGCCAUUAAAAUUACUCUGAAAAGGAAGCUGAUUGUAUUUCUUAUGCAGACAAAUAAUGAGACACCAAGAAUGCUAGAAACACAGAUGCAGGCUGUAAAUACAUGACUCCAAAUGACUAAAUGAAAAUUGAAAAAUAAACUAAUUUCCAAUUACCUAGAUGCUUGCUAGCUUUUGGGUAAUAUUACAUUUGAUGUAGUUUAAAAAUGCUCUACUAAUAACCUCUCUAUUUUGUAGACUGUGAGCACCAUGAGAACAAGGACUAAUCCAUUAAUUUUUAUCUGUUUGACCUUGAACAAGUUACUCUCUGUGCCUCAGUUUUCUAAUCUGUAAAAUUAGGGUAACAAGAGUUUGUACUUUAGAGGCAUAUGCUGAGGACUAAGUGACAUACAUAUGCAGAGGAAAUAGAACAUUGGCACUUGGUAUAGGCUCUUUAUUGAUAUGCCUGCUACCUUUGCCAGUGACUGAAAUGUAGGAGAAACUUAAUAAAUGUUUGCGAAUGAGCAUAGACAGUGACAGGCGUAGAGGGAGAUACCUGCAGAGAUCCGCACAAAAGGUGCUUACACACAUUUAUAAAUAUAAUAUUUCCUUAUCCUAAGGCAGCAGAUAUAUUUUCUUCCUUUGCCACAUUCUGGUUUUUAGAACUUGGGUAGGUGGGGGACAAAAUCAGAAGAACCUCACAAAUUAAUUUUGUAGUCUCUUAACCACUCUCAAAGCAAAAGUGUCAAGGAGGUAAAGUUUAUCAGGGUACUCCUCACCAGCUGAUUUAGGGUCCUGGAUCUUUCAGUGCCCCUGUAAAGAGUCACUACUAAAGUGUUAAUGGACUGUGAUUUAAAAAAAAAAAAAAA